AAGUGAGAAGCAAAUAUUGCAAUCAGUUUCGACCUGAUCUUAGAUAAACUUUUAUCCUUACUUU
rnacentral:tRNA from 1 species